rnacentral:rRNA from 1 species
CACGUAGGGGGCGAGCGUUGUCCGGAUUUAUUGGGCGUAAAGAGCUCGUAGGCGGCUCGGUAAGUCAGGUGUGAAACCUCCAGGCUCAACCUGGAGACGCCACCUGAUACUGCCGUGGCUAGAGUCCGGUAGAGGAGCGUAGAAUUCCUGGUGUAGCGGUGAAAUGCGCAGAUAUCAGGAGGAACACCGGUGGCGAAGGCGGUUCUCUGGGCCUUACCUGACGCUGAGGAGCGAAAGCGUGGGGAGCGAACAGG